AUGGCUACAGUUUUUCAGGAUCCCAAUAUCUUUUCGGAUCCCCAUAUUCUUUUUUUUCUUUCCCAGAUUCCAAAACUUCACGUGGCCUCCAUUAAUGUUUGUCAGCACUUUCGGCAUUUUCAAAGUAUUAUUUUCAUCAAAAGCCGAUCUUGCUUUGCGGAUUUCACGGAGCUAUUUUUUCAAAAGCACCCCGAGAAUCUCGCAAUUUUCUUAUGGUUAAUUUGAA
rnacentral:lncRNA from 1 species